GAUGAACGCUGGCGGCGUGCCUAAUACAUGCAAGUCGAGCGAACAGACGAGGAGCUUGCUCCUCUGACGUUAGCGGCUGACGGGUGAGUAACACGUGGAUAACCUACCUAUAAGACUGGGAUACCUUCGGGAAACCGGAGCUAAUACCGGUUAAUCUAUUUAACCGCAUGGUUCAAUAGUGAAAGACGGUUUUGCUGUCUCUUAUUGCUGGAUCCGCGCCGCAUUAUCUAGUUGGUAAGGUAACGGCUUACCAAGGCAACGAUGCGUAGCCGACCUGAGAGGGUGAGUGACCACACUGGAACUGAGACACGGUCCAGACUCCUACGGGAGGCAGCAGUAUGGAAUCUUCCGCAAUGGGCGAAAGCCUGACGGAGCAACGCCGCGUGAGUGAUGAAGGUCUUCGGAUCGUAAAACUCUGUGAAUAGGGAAGAACAAAUGUGUAAGUAACUAUGCACGUCUUGACGGUACCUAAUCAGAAAGCCACGGCUAACUACGUG
rnacentral:rRNA from 1 species